UCUGUGAUGCCCUUAGAUGUUCUGGGCCGCACGCGCGCUACACUGACGCAUUCAACAAGCCUAUCCUUGGCCGAGAGGCCCGGGUAAUCUUCGAAACUGCGUCGUGAUGGGGAUAGAUUAUUGCAAUUAUUAGUCUUCAACGAGGAAUGCCUAGUAAGCGCGAGUCAUCAGCUCGCGUUGAUUACGUCCCUGCCCUUUGUACACACCGCCCGUCGCUCCUACCGAUUGGGUGUGCUGGUGAAGUGUUCGGAUCGGCUUUAGGGGAUGGCGACAUCUCCUAUGGCUGAAAAGUUCAUUAAACCCUCCCACCUAGAGGAAGGAGAAGUCGUAACAAGGUUUCCGUAGGUGAACCUGCGGAAGGAUCAUUG
rnacentral:rRNA from 1 species